UAUCUGUUGAUAUACCGCACGGUAUAUAUAGCUUGUGUCAAUCGUUAUGGGAGGAACCACGAGGAUAGUUGGGGAACUUGGUUAAUUUUCCCGGUUUUACUUGGUCAUCCCCUGGGAUACUGAUUGCAUACUGUGUGCUAUAUUUGUCUUGGUCAUGUGUGAAACUAAGAAAAACCAAGGACCACGUGUUAGUGCAUAAAACUUUAGUGACUGAGAGUUAGUGUUUUUAUCGUACCCUGGUGCCCUAAAUUACGAAUACAGAUAGGUCUAACGCAUUAAAAUUGCGACCGUGGCAAAUACAUAUAUACGUAUCAAACUGGAAGUUUUAAAAAGGAAUUUCUAGAAGCGAUGUCUUAAUACUGUUCUUACAAUUUAUACAAGCUUGAAAGUGGAGGUAUAAUAACAAGCUUCUCUGAAAUUUGAUGGACCAUUGUCACAAGAAGAUUAAGAUGUGAAGUAUUUUUAAACAUUAUAUUAAUGAAAGAACUAAUUUCGGACCACCAUUGAUAUUUAAAAUAAUAAGAAAUGAUGUAUAUUACUUAAAACAGGUAAUAUUUUAAGUAAUAAGGUUAAAUUAUUGUUCCUGUUAAAUUUUUAUUAAAAUUUAUAUAUUAUUGGGUAUAUUAUAGGUAUAUAAUUUGUUUUUGUCAAAAAUAAGGUUUAUAACCUACUGCUCCACAAACAUUAGGGUUGUUAAUUUGACAAUUAUUUCAUGUAUCCAACAAAAACGUGGUGGUUCGCUGGGGUGUGUCUAUUAUUAUCAGUCAUUCAUUUUUAUCUAAACUGAAAAUAAUGACACAAAUUUUCUUCUUCAACUUCUUUUUCUGCUUCAUUUUGUGUUCAUUCGGAACGAUAAUAAUCUUACCUAGUAUUAGCUGAAGUUGAACGUAUCCUUCCUAAUGUGGAACUUCCUUUAUUCCCUCCACCGUCACCUCAUAUAUUUAACGUCCUAUCUUUUGAUGUGGUUAAACAGACGUGUCACUAUAAAUUGGGCAUCUACAGAAAAUAUUCUAAAUUGCCAUUUUUAUGAUUCUAUAGAUAUUCAAGUUACUGAGCGUCGUAAGCUUCAAAUUUAUAAGUUGUACAGAAAUUAUGCGAGGGAAUGCUGUCAUUAGUUGUGGUCGUCUAAAAUUUUUUGAAACGACAAUUUGAAGCAGUUCCCUGAAGAAUAAAACAUAGCUUUGAUCACACCAGUUCGCCAAAAAAAAAGAAUCUUUAUUACCAGCAUUAUGCCCAUGGUAUGCCAUUCUACAAUGUCGCAGAAUAUGCCCCAGGCAGCACCUGUGACGAUGCUUCAUCAGUCCCAUCCUCAGAUACAAAUCCAGGGGCCACCCCACACAACCCCAAAUCCUAUCUGAGGUAAUGCAGCCCCAUAUGCAAUACCAGAUGCCUCCUCAAAUGCGGUACUAGUUCCCUCUGCACAUGCAGUACUAAAUGCCGCCUUACAUGCAGCAUCAGAUGCUGCUACUAUCUGAGACAAUGCCAUCUUAUAUCAAUAACGAAAAAUGAAUGAUGGCUCCAGAUUCACAAGAGCAAUUUACAAUUCUGUAGUACAUUCUCGUAGACGAAUACUGUCGAAAUUUCAACCCUUUUUUACCAAUUUUUAUUUAUUGCCGUAAAUGUCUACAGUUAUUUAUAAUACAUUAUGCACAUACAGUAUGUACAUCUUGGAUCCUGCAGGACUUUGUUUUUUUUUCAUUGAUUAGUCUAUAUAUUUCGGGGCCUGGUUUUGGCAUAGGGGCCUUGUUUUUGUAACAAUAUCACAAAUAACAAAUACAAUUUAAGGAAUCAAUCCGUCUGUACCGUCUGUUGUCGCUUUUUGUCAUAUUUUCGAUGAUUUUAUCUUGGCCUGGACUUUUUGAAGCUUUUAGGAGUUUGAUAGUUUUUGCCCCAACACUUCAAUAGGUGGAAUCUGGUGUUUAGGCGGGAAUUUUAUGGAUCUCUUGGGGGUGUGUGAGUAUCGCCUGCGGUCGGAUAUUUUAUUGAGAAGGCUCAGAUCUGCCGUCUUUGAUUUUUCGAUUUCUCAAGAAUUCCUGAAAAGGAAAUAUCGCAAAUAGUUUUAUUACUGUUAUUUAUUUGAUGAUUUUUCCUACAAUAAUU